GACGAACGCUGGCGGCGUGCUUAACGCAUGCAAGUCGAACGAUGAACUUGGAGCUUGCUCUGGGGGAUUAGUGGCGAACGGGUGAGUAACACGUGAGUAACCUGCCCUGGACUCUGGGAUAACUUCGAGAAAUCGGAGCUAAUACCGGAUAGGACCUUGCACCGCAUGGUGUGGGGCGGAAAGUUUUUCGGUUUGGGAUGGACUCGCGGCCUAUCAGCUUGUUGGUGAGGUAAUGGCUCACCAAGGCGUCGACGGGUAGCCGGCCUGAGAGGGUGACCGGCCACACCGGGACUGAGACACGGCCCAGACUCCUACGGGAGGCAGCAGUGGGGAAUAUUGCACAAUGGGCGCAAGCCUGAUGCAGCAACGCCGCGUGCGGGAUGACGGCCUUCGGGUUGUAAACCGCUUUUAGUAGGGAAGAAGCCUUCGGGUGACGGUACCUGCAGAAAAAGGACCGGCUAACUACGUGCCAGCAGCCGCCGUAAUAC
rnacentral:rRNA from 1 species